rnacentral:rRNA from 1 species
ACCUCUAGCAUUAAUUAGUAUUAGGAGGCACUGCCUGCCCAGUGACAUACGUUUAACGGCCGCGGUAUCCUGACCGUGCAAAGGUAGCAUAAUCACUUGUUCCUUAAUUAGGGACUCGAAUGAAUGGCAAGACGAGGGUUAAUCUGUCUCUUACUUUCAAUCAGUGAAAUUGACCUUCCCGUGAAGAGGCGGGAAUAAGUAAAUAAGACGAGAAGACCCUAUGGAGCUUAAAUUCUUUACUCAAGUAAAUACUUCUAAUUCAACAAGAUAUAAAACUCUUACUAAUGAAUAAAGAUUUUUGGUUGGGGUGACCUCGGAGCAUAAAUCAACCUCCGAAUGAUCUUAAUUAAGACUUUCACCCGUCUAAAUUUUCACUCAUGAAUUGACCCAAACUAUUGAUCAACGGAACAAGUUACCCUAGGGAUAACAGCGCAAUCCUACCCAAGAGUCCCUAUCGACAGUAGGGUUUACGACCUCGAUGUUGGAUCAGGACAUCCAAAUGGUGUAGCAGCUAUUAAUGGUUCGUUUGUUCAACGAUUAAAG